UACGGAGGGUGCAAGCGUUGUCCGGAUUUAUUGGGCGUAAAGAGCGUGUAGGCGGCUAGAUAGGUCCGUUGUGAAAACUCGAGGCUCAACCUCGAGACGCCGGUGGAAACCAUCUAGCUAGAGUCCGGAAGAGGAGAGUGGAAUUCCUGGUGUAGCGGUGAAAUGCGCAGAUAUCAGGAAGAACACCCGUGGCGAAGGCGGCUCUCUGGGACGUGACUGACGCUGAGACGCGAAAGCGUGGGGAGCGAACAGG
rnacentral:rRNA from 1 species